rnacentral:rRNA from 1 species
AUACGUAGGGGGCGAGCGUUGUCCGGAAUGAUUGGGCGUAAAGGGCGCGUAGGCGGCCCGGUAAGUCUGGAGUGAAAGUCCUGUUUUUAAGAUGGGAAUUGCUUUGGAUACUGUCGGGCUUGAGUGCAGGAGAGGUAAGUGGAAUUCCCAGUGUAGCGGUGAAAUGCGUAGAGAUUGGGAGGAACACCAGUGGCGAAGGCGACUUACUGGACUGUAACUGACGCGGAGGCGCGAAAUUGUGGGGAGCAAACAGGAUUAGAUACCCUGGUAGUCCACACUGUAAACGAUGAAUGCUAGGUGUAGGGGGUAUCGACCCCUUCUGUGCCGCAGUCAACACAAUAAGCAUUCUGCCUGGGGAGUACGGCCGCAAGGUUGAAACUCAAAUGAAUUGGCGGGG